rnacentral:misc_RNA from 1 species
AUUGCACUCUACUAUAAACAGGCGACAAGCAUUAAUUUGAUUAACGAAGUAAGCUUGACGUCUCGUAUCCCCGAAAGAGUAAGUUUAGUUUGUUUAAAACAUUUUCGUUAUUUUAGGGCUUUCCUCAUGUCUACUUUUGCUUAAUUGUCUUGUCAUUGCGCAUUCUUUCGUAUAAGUUGGUGACUCAUUCAAAAAAUGUUCUUAAAUACAUGUAAUAAUCGAUAUUUAUCGACACUUUAAAUGCAAACAAGCGAAGACAUACCACAAAAUAACGCCUUAUAUUGUUAAACAUAAUAUUUAUUUCGAAUCAUUCAAUCUAACUGAAAUUUUAGACAAGAGUUCUAUCGGGCCAUUUAAAACAAAGUGCGGGAAAACGAUGUACUUUAGCGAUUUANUAAACACUCUUAUAAACUCUUCAAAAGUCACUGAUGUGUCAUACCGAAGCCAUCUUAAAAAAGUAACCUUUGUAAAAAGUAAUUUAACGAAGACAUCUUACUAUUACUGAGAUAUUUCAAGAUUUUAGCAUAAGAAAGGUUUCGCUUGAUUUUCGAAGUUUAAUCUUUGAAUGACAAUACCAAGCGCUUUCUGAAUGAUAUUUGCAUCUUUAGAGAGACUUCUUUUUACAUUUUCAUGGNAUAUAUUGUCGUUGAACUAUUAUAAUGAAAUCCGCUCCCUUGUAUUUAGACACUUAACGGGCUAUAGGUAAUAUAUUGAUAUUGUAUGACUUAUUGACUUUAGACGGUAUUUCUGUAGCAGCCGUAUACAUACGUUCCGUUGGGAUCUGAACUCAGUUUAACAAGCAGAAAAUUUUAGUUCUGUAUUGGAAAACAGGUGCAUCGGGCCAAAAAGCACACAAGCCGCCAUUUGUUGAAGGUAAAACCUUUUUCGACGUGCAUUACUACAGGAUUUAAGAAUUUAAUCAAUUUUUUUUUCAUUGCUCACUGUUUGACGUGGGGUUUCUUUAAAUGAGAAAAUGUUUUGAAAUUUAUGUUUCAGUAAAAGCCAAAAAAUGAUGUUNCUAAUGUAUUUGCUGUUUAUGUAUAAAGACUGUGUUCAUGCUAUGAUAAACUCCAGAAAAUGCUGAGGGUUUUACUUCAUUUCUGUUUCAUUGAAUACUAGAAAACCGAACAUUUUUAUUUGGUUACAUAUAUCGAUUGAACCUUCCUUCAUCCGGAUAUAAACCUCGUUUUUUAUUUUACACUAGUAAACUUCUGCAAAGUCAUCACGAUGAAGAGCUAUAGCAAUCAUACGAAUGCAACCAUUGCAAGGGACGAUGUCAUUUUACCUUCAAUGUUACUCGGGUUUCUCACUAUUGGUGCUGUAUUUGGUAAUGGUCUUGUUUGUAUGGCUUUUCACAAGGUCCGCAUUCUCCGCACAGUGACCAACUACUUUAUAGUGUCUCUAGCUGUUGCUGAUUUGUUGGUUGGGUUCGUUUCUAUGCCGUUGUGGUUUACAUCGGUUGCUUUUCAUUGGCCCAUUGCAACACCGCCGUNAGCAGUUUACAUACUGUGGAUAUGUAUGGAUAUUGCUUCUGCAACAGCUUCGAUUAUGAAUCUAGCUGUAAUCAGUAUUGACCGAUAUUACGCUAUAACGUCACCCCUUCUAUAUAAAACUCACCUGACAAAACGUCGUGCAUGUUUCUACAUUAUGAUCGUGUGGGUUUAUGCCUUGGGUGUGGCUUCUAUACGGGCCACACCCUUAUUUGGUUUAUGGUACAGCUACUUUAUAGCAACAGCAAGUUUUUUUGUACCACUCCCCAUCAUGUGUUUUUGUUAUGUUCGUAUUUUCAGAGUCGCUUUGAAACACGCAACGAAAUUGAGAAAACUUGAAGGGCUAAUUGAGCAUGUACAGAGGUUUGAUGAACGUGAUCUCCUGACAUCUGACAGGAAAACACAAUUAACAACGAACUCAAAUCACAUCAUUAAACAANGACUGUCGUUCAAAUCAGAAAUGAAAGCAGCUAAAACGCUUGCUAUUGUAAUGGGCGCGUUUAUUUUAUGUUGGGCGCCAUACAUUAUCACCCUUGUCAUUGAUGUUUCAUGCAGUGAUUGUAUCCCCCACACUAGGCUUAAAGUCUUAGCACAAGUUGUGAAGUGGCUUCAUUACUCCAAUUCGCUACUUNAUCCAGUAAUCUACGCCAUGUUAAAUAGAGGAUUUCGAGAGGCAUUUAUAAGAGUGUUAUGUAAACAUCCAAGUAGAGUAUGCAAAAACAAAUCAACUUUACUUCAUUUCAAGGAAGGCCGACAUGAUAAUGAGUGUGAGAUGUUUGAGUGUGUAGAAAAGAUCUCAGUAGUUUAGAUAGCGAUGGAACAUACCACACUGUUGGAUAUUUUGGUCUGGGGAUGACGUAUGNCGAUAAAGAGUUGUCACUGAUCAGGAUCUUUACUUUAUUCAGUUCAAGUUAAGUAUAUUAUUCACCACUAUGGUUCUGUGCCGCGGGAAAUAAAUAUUGCCAUUUAAUAUUUUAAUGUAGACAAUAUUUAUCGAUCAUCGUCUCGCUACCUCUGACUAAACAGGCACACAUGCAGACAUGUGUUUUUCAGUGUAGCUCAGAGAUCGGAAGAGCGUGUGU